rnacentral:rRNA from 1 species
GACGUAGGGCGCGAGCGUUGUCCGGAUUUAUUGGGCGUAAAGAGCUCGUAGGCGGCUUGUCGCGUCGACUGUGAAAUCCCGCGGCUCAACCGCGGGUCUGCAGUCGAUACGGGCAGGCUAGAGUUCGGUAGGGGAGACUGGAAUUCCUGGUGUAGCGGUGAAAUGCGCAGAUAUCAGGAAGAACACCCGUGGCGAAAGCGGCUCUCUGGAACGGUACUGACGCUGAGACGCGAAAGCGUGGGGAGCGAACAGG